rnacentral:rRNA from 1 species
UUNUGAACUGGGUGACUAGAGUGUGUCAGAGGGAGGUAGAAUUCCACGUGUAGCAGUGAAAUGCGUAGAGAUGUGUAGGAAUACCGAUGGCGAAGGCAGCCUCCUGGGAUAACACUGACGUUCAUGCUNGAAAGCGUGGGUAGCAAACAGGAUUAGAUACCCUGGUAGUCCACGCCCUAAACGAUGUCAAUUAGCUGUUGGGCAACUUGAUUGCUUAGUAGCGUAGCUAACGCGUGAAAUUGACCGCCCGGGGAGUACGGUCGCAAGAUUAAAACUCAAAGGAAUUGACGGGGACCCGCACAAGCGGUGGAUGAUGUGGAUUAAUUCGAUGCAACGCGAAGAACCUUACCUGGUCUUGACAUGUACGGAAUCCUCCAGAGACGGAGGAGUGCCUUCGGGAGCCGUAACACAGGUGCUGCAUGGCUGUCGUCAGCUCGUGUCGUGAGAUGUUGGGUUAAGUCCCGCAACGAGCGCAACCCUUGUCAUUAGUUGCCAUCAUUUAGUUGGGCACUCUAAUGAGACUGCCGGUGACAAGCCGGAGGAAGGUGGGGAUGACGUCAAGUCCUCAUGGCCCUUAUGACCAGGGCUUCACAUGUCAUACAAUGGUCGGUACAGAGGGUAGCCAAGCCGCGAGGUGGAGCCAAUCUCACAAAACCGAUCGUAGU